AUUGAACGCUGGCGGCAGGCCUAACACAUGCAAGUCGAGCGGAGCGGCGGACGGGCGAGUAAUGCCUAGGAAUCUGCCUGGCCGUGGGGGAUAACGCCCGGAAACGGGCGCUAAUACCGCACACUAUCAGAUGAGCCUAGGCCGGAUUAGCUAGUUGGUGGGGUAAAGGCCUACCAAGGCGACGAUCCGUAACUGGUCUGAGAGGAUGAUCAGUCACACUGGAACUGAGACACGGUCCAGACUCCUACGUGAGGCAGCAGUGGGGAAUCUUGGACAAUGGGCGCAAGCCUGAUCCAGCCAUGCCGCGUGUGUGAAGAAGGUCUUCGGAUUGUAAAGCACUUUAAGUUGGGAAGCGUUACCAACAGAGUAAGCACCGGCUAACUACGUGCCAGCAGCCGCGGUAAUUC
rnacentral:rRNA from 1 species